UACCACAGAUCUUUGAUCCUCUUUCUUCUAUUGCAAAAAAAAAGAAAACAGAUUCAUAAUCAAGAAAGAUGAAGAUGGACAAGAAGCUAAGUGUCGUCGAGCUACUAAAACUAGCUGCGAAGCUACUCUUGAGCAACAUCAAUCUUACACUAUUCAUCUUCCUCUGUUCUCUCCCACUGUUCUGUUUCUUGAUCUUCUUUGAGCUCUCCCUCCAAACCACCCUCUCUUUCACUUACCAAUUCCUCUCCAAACAAGUCAACGCUGAGAAGGAUUUUUCGGAGAAUGAUCUGUGUCUCCAAACCACCAACUAUCUUCUCACUUAUCAAUCGUUUUACCAACAACGCAAUAUUUGGGAGGACUUGUCUGAAAAUGAUCUGAUUCGAUGGCUGAUCAAGACAUCUCUUCUCUACUUCUUCCCCUACACCAUUCUCGACCUCCUUACCACCACCACGAUCGUUGCAGCAUCUUCCACUGUUUACACGUCCAAGGAAGAACCGUUGGGGUUGCUUGAUUUGGUACAGAGAUCUAUCAAGAUAUGUCAGAAGAGACUAGGUGGUUGUCUGAUCACAUCUCUCUAUGUUCUUCUCUUGUCAACAUCUGUGUUCCUUUUCUUCCUUCCCUUUUGUCUUUUGUUUUUCUUCGGUAUCUUCUCACAUUGGGCGGAAAAGUUAAACUUCGUUAGUUUCGUACACGGACGCCAAACCUCCCUCGACCUAGUAAUACCGUCUCUGAUCUACGCGAUGGUGCUUCUGUUUCAAGCUACUCUCUUCAUCUACCUGACUGCAAAGUUCAUCAAGUGGAGCGCAGGAUGGAACAUGAGUUUGGUAGUUUCUGUCUUAGAAGAAGAGGGAGAAGACGGUGAAGAAGGCAUAUAUGGAAGCGAUGCUCUGUCUCUUUCAGCUUGGUAUCGAAAAGGACAUGAGAAGCGUGACGUCUCGAUGAUGUUGCUGUUCUUGGUCUUUGCUGUCGUGACGAGGAUGCUGUUGAAUCCGAGUUUGUUGAUCGACUGAAAGUAAAGAGGAUUCGGUUUUGUGGGUCUUACGAAGACGUUUUAUUGAUUAGUGAAUGAGUUCGAACGGACUACAAGGAGGUGAAACGAAAGAAAGAAAAGGCCGGAGCUUUGCUGAAAGCGCCGGCAAGAACACAAGGUAGAUCGAUUGGUUGGUAAACCCUAAUCUUGCCGUCAGUGCUCUAAAGUGUAUUUCGGAUCCCUUUCUCUUUCCCCUUCGACCUCUUUUUAUAGUUCUCGUUCCCCUGCACUUCGUUUGCCCUAGGACUCGUUCGCCCUAGAGACUUUGGGCCUGAAUCCAUGUUCGAUGGGCUUCGCGACCAAACGAUGGCGUAUUGAGCCAAAGUAAGUCUAACCGAUCGAUCGGUCAUCUGGUCUAAUCGAUCGAUUUAAUCAAUCGAACCAAUCUCAAAAGAUGGGUCUUGAUGUUGAUGGGCCGAAAGCUGUUGUUCGAUGGGCCUUGUGGAGGGAUGUUAAAUCCGUCUCCAACAGUAAGCCCCCCCCCCACUCCAUUGGUGAGAUGUGGUAAAUGUCGCGCGAUGGGUAGUAAGGUUCUGGUUCUGAGAAUAACAGGUUCGACGCUGGUUCGUUUUUAGAGUGCGUUUCGUUCUUUUGACUUCGGUGACUAACCAUUUACAAAGGAGUGGCCGAUCGGCGUUUGGAGUUCAGGGCGAUCGAUCAGUCGGUCGUGCGGCAGGACGUCGUGUGCUGGAGUCGAUCGAUCGAUCCCAUCCCAUAGAAAACGGCCGUCGUAUCUGGUUCCCGGUGACCGAUCGGUCUUCUUGUCGUGCGGAGGUGCGUGCUGACCGAUCGAUAGUUGUUGCGGCGCUUGUUAAACUUUGAUCGGUCGUCUUUGGUUUUCUUUUCGAACGAGCUGCCUUCGUGCGUCGAUCGAUCCGCCAGAUCGGUGUUCGGAGUUCAGGGCGAUCGAUCAGUCCCAUCCCAUAGAAAACGGCCGUCGUAUCUGGUUCCCGGUGACCGAUCGGUCUUCUCGUCGUGCGGAGGUGCGUGCUGACCGAUCGAUAGUUGUUGCGGCGCUUGUUAAACUUCGAUCGGUCGUCUUUGGUUUUCUUUUCGAACGAGCUGCCUUCGUGCGUUGAUCGAUCCGCUAUUCGCCCAACCAAAGAACGGUCUAACCGGUUUCACAUUGGGAUUGAGAGAGAUGAUUCCGGUUCGACGUCUGAAUUUAAAUAUCCAAUCGCUGUAAACCGAUCUAAACCGGGUUUCUUCAUUUGUCCGUCGGACAAAAUGGUUGAUCCACUCUCGGGGCGCAGGUCUUUUACUAUAAAUAGGGGAGCUCUUGUUUUUUUUUCUUUUUUUUCUUCACUUUCCCCCUCCCUUUCUCUUUCUCCUCUUCUUUUUCUUUCCUUUUCGCCCUAGGGCUCCUCGCGGCGAUCGCCCCCUUCUUGCUCCUUCUUCGAUUUUUUUUUUUUUUUUUUUUUGUCUUCGGGCGUUCGCACUAGCUCGAAAUCGAUCGGUGUGUGGGCGAUGGUAUCGGAUCGAUCGGAAUCAUCCGAGUCCGAGAGAGAUGGGGAGGUUCAGAUCGACGAGAGGGACCAUCCUUGUGAUCCAAGCCAUCGAUCGGCGUUGAGAUCCGAGGCUUCGAUCGGAUCCUUGGCGCUGAGGAUUUCGCCCAAGGUGGUGGGAGCGGAGUCUGUUCGUCGGUCGACGGUCUCGUAUCCGGCGGGAAGGUUGGGAGAGCUGCUGUGAGGAUGGAGAUUGGAGGAAACGAGUCCGUUGCGAGUUACGGGAUCUCAGGUAGAGAUAUCGGCGGUCGUUCGAGCGCUUCUAAUGAAAAGAUUUGUCGAUUGACUCCAUUCGUUUGCAGUGGUCUUGAAGGAGCGAUCGCACAGCUCCGUGAUUUGUCCCCGGAGUUGGCUCGGCCAUCGGUGGUGGAGGGACAGGUCUGGGAUGACGUUCGGCCGACCGAAUCAACUUUCAAGAGUGUGUCUUCACUGUUGAGAGAAUGUCGAGCGCGUGGUGUUGAGUUUAUCAUCCCGCAGCCCGACCAGCGUCCUUGGGCUCCACCAAUGGGUUAUUGUUGCGUUUAUGAGUCGUUCUUCCAGAAAGAUUAGAAGCUGUGGUUCCCGAUCCCACGCUUGGUCACUUCUUACUGCGCGCGCCGGGAUAUAGCUUUAACUCAGCUGAUGGUUGGGAUCGUGAGGAUCGCUGUCGCACUGAUGGUAAUGGCUGCAGAGAUCGAUGUGUCGAUGUCUGUCCGUAUUUUCGAAGAGUUGACGCAGCCACAACCGAAACCGCACGGUUUUCUAUCGAUGCAGAUGCGCACCGGGGUUAACGUCUUGACUGGUCAUCCUGGGACGAAGUCUUGGCAACGCUCGUAUUUUUAUGUCAGAGCUAACGGUGCUGCCUUUGAAGUUCCUCCAACCGAAAGCUCUCGUGUUUUGUGGAAUCCCAAAAUUGUUGCUCACCCGAACAUCGCCAGUCCUCAGGAUGAUUUCUGGAACGAUCUUCUAAAGGUCAUGGUGCUUGAGGAGCAAGAAUGGGCGAGCUUCGAUCGUCAAAGGGUCGAUCGCCAGCGCGAACGUAUCGCAAGAGGUUCGUUUCCGUUGCUUCACACAAUUACUUUAUUUCUGUUUCUCUGUCUCCGACGCUGACUGUCUUUGCUCUUCUUUUUUUUUUUUUUAUUAGCUGAUUGGUCGAUGGACGUUCCGUGCUUGGUAGGACCCGGAAAAGGCUAAAGCUUCCACUUAUGGGGAAGGCUCCGAAAGCGUGCCCAAGUUACGGUGAGAUUCUUCGCGCCCAAUUGAGGGGGAAGAGCUUUGGUUCUACGUCUGUGCCGAGAAGAAGGAAGCUGAGCUUCAGGGGUCGCUGGUAGGAGUGACGACGACUGUUUCUACCGAUCCGCUGGUCGAGGGUGCAAACGACGGGCAGAGUACUCCAUCGAGCUCGUCCGCCCAGUGUCCCUUCUUGAGAUCGAGGCGUUUCUUAAUUCCCGCGAUGAUCGUCUUGUUGGUGGCUUCUGCUUGGCCGUUGCUUUGUGGAUUUCUGGGCGUUGAUGUGUUCAAGCGAAUCCCCCAUCGUUCCAAAAAGCCACGAAAGUCUCCUGAGAUGAACUGAGAACCGUUGUCGGUGACGAUUCGUAGGAAGACCAUGCCGACAGAUGAUGUUCUUCCACACGAAGUUUUGCACUUCUUUAUCGGUGAUGUUGACGAGCGCCUUCGCUUCUACCCACUUGGUGAAAUAAUCCGUCAUGAUUAGGAUGUAUUUUCGUUGUCUGGAGCUUGGCAUCGGUCCGACAAGA